rnacentral:rRNA from 1 species
AUUGAACGCUGGCGGCAUGCCUUACACAUGCAAGUCGAACGGCAGCACGGGUGCUUGCACCUGGUGGCGAGUGGCGAACGGGUGAGUAAUACAUCGGAACGUACCUUAUCGUGGGGGAUGACGCAGCGAAAGCUGUGCUAAUACCGCAUACGCCCUGAGGGGGAAAGCGGGGGAUCGCAAGACCUCGCGCGAUUAGAGCGGCCGAUGCCUGAUUAGCUUGUUGGUGGGGUAAAAGCCCACCAAGGCGACGAUCAGUAGCUGGUCUGAGAGGACGAUCAGCCACACUGGGACUGAGACACGGCCCAGACCCCUACGGGAGGCAGCAGUGGGGAAUUUUGGACAAUGGGGGCAACCCUGAUCCAGCAAUGCCGCGUGAGUGAAGAAGGCCUUCGGGUUGUAAAGCUCUUUUGUCAGGGAAGAAACACCGGUUCUAACACAGUCCGGGAAUGACGGUACCUGAAGAAUAAGCACCGGCUAACUACGUGCCAGCAGCCGCCGUAA